CCCCCCUCAGGGUCACACCUGGAGAGUUCCCGGUCCUCUACCAGUCUCAACUACAGGAGGGAGAGUCAGGCAGAGGCACAUCCAUUCCAUUCCUAGUUUGGGCAGUGGCUAGCGAGUGGAAGGCCAUCUGCUACAAGU
rnacentral:snoRNA from 2 species